rnacentral:rRNA from 1 species
AUUGAACGCUGGCGGCAGGCUUAACACAUGCAAGUCGAGCGGGGUGAUGGUGCUUGCACUAUCACUUAGCGGCGGACGGGUGAGUAAUGCUUAGGAAUCUGCCUAUUAGUGGGGGACAACAUCUCGAAAGGGAUGCUAAUACCGCAUACGUCCUACGGGAGAAAGCAGGGGAUCUUCGGACCUCGCGCUAAUAGAUGAGCCUAAGUCGGAUUAGCUAGUUGGUGGGGUAAAGGCCUACCAAGGCGACGAUCUGUAGCGGGUCUGAGAGGAUGAUCCGCCACACUGGGACUGAGACACGGCCCAGACUCCUACGGGAGGCAGCAGUGGGGAAUAUUGGACAAUGGGGGGAACCCUGAUCCAGCCAUGCCGCGUGUGUGAAGAAGGCCUUAUGGUUGUAAAGCACUUUAAGCGAGGAGGAGGCUACUUUAGUUAAUACCUAGAGAUAGUGGACGUUACUCGCAGAAUAAGCACCGGCUAACUCUGUGCCAGCAGCCGCGGUAA